ACCGUUUUUGUUUACUAUAGCGGACAAACAGUCAGGUGGUGAAGACAGCAAUGUAGGCACAUACGUCGGAGCUGGAGUCGGGAUUGCUGUCCUCCUUAUGUUGAUCAUAGUAGCAGUGAUUAUUGUCAAAAGAAAAUCGACCACACUCAGGGAAAUGACAACAGCACCAUCCGUGAAAUACGAAAAGCCAAUCCCUAGAGGCAACUCAAAAAAUAAUUCAGACGAAACUGAAGAACAUAUCUAUCUCGAAAUUGAAAAUGUAGACAUACAGCAC